AGGGUUUGAUCCUGGCUCAGAGCGAACGCUGGCGGCGUGGCUAAAGCAUGCAAGUCGAGCGGGCUGUGUAGACGGGUAACCGAUUGUACAGCUAGCGGCGGAAGGGUGAGUAACGCGUGGGUAACGUACCCUGGACUCGGGAAUAGCCGACCGAAAGGUCGUGUAAUGCCCGAUGAUAUCGCCCCGGGGCAUCUCGGGACGAUCAAAGGUGGCCUAUCCUUGGAAGCUGCCGGUUUGGGAGCGGCCCGCGUCAUAUCAGCUUGUUGGUAGGGUAACGGCCUACCAAGGCUAAGACGUGUAGCUGGUCUGAGAGGACGAUCAGCCACAUCGGGACUGAGACACUGCCCGGACCUCCACGGAGGGCUGCAGCAACGAAUAUUCCGCAAUGCGCGAAAGCGUGACGGAGCGACGCCGCGUGUGGGACGAAGCCUUUCGGGGUGUAAACCACUGUCAGGGGAAACCAAGCAAUGGGGGUUAAUAGCCCCCGGCGUUGAGGGAACCCAAAGGAAGGCACGGCUAACUUCGUGCCAGCAGCCGCGGUAAGACGAAGGUGCCAAGCGUUGCUCGGAAUCACUGGGCUUAAAGGGUGUGUAGGCGGCCGAUCAAGCAUUCCGUGAAAGCCCUCGGCUCAACCGAGGAACGGCGGGAUGAACUGACCGGCUUGAGGCGCGUAGGGGUCAGCGGAACUCUGGGUGGAGCGGUGAAAUGCGUAGAUAUCCAGGGGAACGCCAGUGGCGAAGGCGGCUGGCUGGGCGCGUUCUGACGCUGAGGCACGAAAGCGUGGGGGCGAACGGGAUUAGAUACCCCGGUAGUCCACGCUGUAAACGAUGUGCACUAGCUUCGGGAGUCUCUGACGGCUUCCGGGGCGUAGGGAAACCGUGAAGUGCACCGCCUGGGGAGUACGGCCGCAAGGCUAAAACUCAAAGGAAUUGACGGGGGCUCACACAAGCGGUGGAGCAUGUGGCUCAAUUCGAAGCAACGCGAAGAACCUUACCUGGGUUUGACAUGUACGGAUGCCCUUGUGGAAACACAUGUAAGCUGCCCUUUGGGUGAAACGUACACAGGUGCUGCAUGGCUGUCGUCAGCUCGUGCCGUGAGGUGUUGGGUUAAGUCCCGUAACGAGCGAAACCCUUAUCGCUAGUUGCCAGUUCGCCUUUGGCGGAGGAACUCUAGCGAGACUGCCGGCGUCAAGCCGGAGGAAGGCGGGGAUGACGUCAAGUCAUCAUGGCCUUUAUGUCCAGGGAUGCACACGUGCUACAAUGCCCGGUACAAAGCGACGCGAAACCGCGAGGUCAAGCAAAUCGCAAAAAACCGGGCCCAGUUCAGAUUGCAGUCUGCAAUUCGACUGCAUGAAGUCGGAAUCGCUAGUAAUCGCGUAUCAGCUACGACGCGGUGAAUGUGUUCCUGAGCCUUGUACACACCGCCCGUCAAGCCAUGGAAGCUGGGACCUCCCGAAGUCCGCUUAGCGAACCCUCACGGGAAGCGGCGGCCGACGGAGAGCUCGGUGACUGGGGCUAAGUCGUAACAAGGUA
rnacentral:rRNA from 1 species